rnacentral:rRNA from 1 species
UGUGAAGGAAAGGUGAAAAGGACCCCGGGAGGGGAGUGAAAGAGAACCUGAAACCUUGUGCCUACAAGCACAUAGAGCCCGUCAAAGGGUGAUAUGGUACUUUUUGUAGAACGGUCCGGCGAGCGAUUGUACGUUGCGAGCUUAAGGUCUUAAGGACUGGAGGCGUAGCGAGAGCGAGUCUAAACAGGGCGUUUAGUAGCGUGCAAUGGGCCCGAAACCGGGUGACCUACCCAUGAUCAGGCUGAAGUGAAAGUAAAAUUUCAUGGAGGGCCGAACCGACCUCCGUUGAAAAGGCGGCGGAUGAAUUGUGGGUAGCGGAGAAAUUCCAAUCGAACUCGGAGAUAGCUGGUUCUCCCCGAAAUAGCUUUAGGGCUAGCCUCAUAUUAGAUACCCGGAGGUAAAGCACUGAAUGGCCUAGCGCCCGAGAGGGUAGCGAAGCCUAUCAAACUAAGAAUGCCGGAGUAUUGAUGUAUGGGAGUCAGACAGUGUGAGAUAAAUCUCAUUGUCAAAAGGGAAACAGCCCAGAUCUACAGCUAAGGUCCCAAAUUGUAUCUAAGUGGAAAACGAUGUGGAAAUACGCAGACAACCAGGAUGUUGGCUCAGAAGCAGCCACUCAUUUAAAGAGUGCGUAAUAGCUCACUGGUCGAGCGUCUCUGCGCGGAAAAUUUAACGGGGCUAAGAUACAAACCGAAGCUUAGGCUGCAUAUGUAAAUAUGCGGGGUAGGGGAGCGUUGUGUAAGCGGAGAAACAGUAGCGAAAGCGGCUGUGGAGUUUACAGAAGUGAGAAUGCCGGAAUGAGUAGCGCGAAUGAUGUGAGAAUCAUCAUGGCCGGAAACCUCAGGUUUUUGGAGGAAGGUUCGUCCGCUCCAAGUUAGGCGGGAGCUAAGGUGAGGCCGAAAGGCGUAGCCGAUGCACAGACGGUAGAGAUUCCGUCCCCACCGAAAGAUUUAAGCGCAGGGACACUUUUAGAAGGUCGGAGCCAGGUGUUGGUUCUGGUAGAGAUCGAGGGAAGAUUAGUACCGAAGUCCGGCUGGAUAAGAGGCGAGAAAAGCUGUGUGUAUAUCUAAGGUGCCCGUACCGCAAACCGACACAGGUAGGUAGGAAGAAGAUUCUAAGGCCAACGGGAGAAGGGUUGUUAAGGAACUCGGCAAAUUGACCCCGUAACUUCGGGAGAAGGGGUGCUCCAGAGAUGGAGCCGCAGAGAAUCGGCCCAAGCAACUGUUUACCAAAAACACAGGUUUGUGCUAAAUCGAAAGAUGACGUAUACGAGCUGACGCCUGCCCGGUGCUGGAAGGUUAAGAGGAGAUGUGCAAGCAUUGAAUCGAAGCCCCAGUGAACGGCGGCCGUAACUAUAACGGUCCUAAGGUAGCGAAAUUCCUUGUCAGGUAAGUUCUGACCCGCAUGAAAGGCGUAAUGAUUUGGGCACUGUCUCAACAGCCCGCCCGGCGAAAUUGUAGUACCGGUGAAGAUGCCGGUUACCCGCGACAAGACGGAAAGACCCCAUGGAGCUUUACUGUAGCCUAAUAUUGGGUUUCGAUGUUGCAUGCACAGGAUAGAUGGGACACUGGGAAACAAGUGCUUUGGCAUUUGUGGAGUGGCCGUUGGGAUACCAUCCUUGCGAUAUUGGAAUUCUAACCUGCGCCUUUGAAUCAAGGCGGGGGACAUUGUUAGGUGGGCAGUUUGACUGGGGCGGUCGCCUCCUAAAGAGUAACGGAGGCGUUCAAAGGUUCGCUCAGCUUGAACGGAAAUCAAGCAAAAGAGUGCAAACGCAGAAGCGAGCCUAACUGCGAGACUGACGGGUCGAGCAGUAACGAAAGUUGGAGUUAGUGAUCCGGUGGUAUGUGAGUGGAAAUGCCAUCGCUCAACGGAUAAAAGUUACCCUGGGGAUAACAGGCUGAUCUCCCCCAAGAGUCCACAUCGACGGGGAGGUUUGGCACCUCGAUGUCGGCUCAUCGCAUCCUGGGGCUGUAUUCGGUCCCAAGGGUUUGGCUGUUCGCCAAUUAAAGCGGUACGCGAGCUGGGUUCAGAACGUCGUGAGACAGUUCGGUCCCUAUCUGUCGUGGGCGCAGGAUAUUUGAUGGGAGCUGUCCCUAGUACGAGAGGACCGGGACGGACGUACCUCUGGCGCACCAGUUGUUCCGCCAGGAGCAUAGCUGGGCAACUACGUACGGAUCGGAUAAACGCUGAAAGCAUCUAAGCGUGAAGCCGACCCAAAGAUAAGAUAUCCCAUUGU